rnacentral:lncRNA from 1 species
UUGUCACUGGAAAGCGAAAUCUCGCAAAAGAGCUAGUAGAUGCUGAUCAUGCCAUGUAUAUCGAUAAUAUGCUUGGAAUCAGGUUUCAGCAAGAGCUAGGACCCAAUAGAGAGCCUAAACAAGACUUCACCAGCAGUGUGAAUGUUUUAUCCAUGAUAACUGAGCUCACAAGCAAAGCCGAAUGUUCUCAACCACUCUUUUCAAAGGAGUCCAUGUUUGAUCAAAAGUCAUCUCAAGAGUCUGUUGGGGAGCAAAAUGCACACCCUUUGAACAGGAGUGAAGAUCUUGGACCUGUGGAGCGGGCAACGCUUAGUACAUCAGUUAUCAAACAAUGUGAGCUGAUGUGAGACAUCCUAUGCUUCAACAGAGAAGCUGGCGAGUUACACUCGACA